rnacentral:rRNA from 1 species
GACGAACCGUGCGAACGUUGUUCGGAAUCACUGGGCUUAAAGGCGCGUAGGCGGGCUGCCGCGUCCGGGGUGAAAUCCUCCCGCUCAACGGGAGAACGGCCUCGGAUACGGGCGGCCUCGAGGGGGGUAGGGGCAUCUGGAACUGUGAGUGGAGCGGUGAAAUGCGUUGAUAUUCACAGGAACGUCCGGUGGCGAAGGCGAGGUGCGUGG